rnacentral:rRNA from 1 species
GGCACGGGGUGGAAAGAUUUAUCGGUUGGGGAUGGACUCGCGGCCUAUCAUCUUGUUGGUGAGGUAAUGGCUCACCAAGGCGACUAACGGGUAGCCGGCCUGAGAGGGUGACCGGCCACACUGGGACUGAGACACGGCCCAGACUCCUACGGGAGGCAGCAGUGGGGAAUAUUGCACAAUGGGCGAAAGCCUGAUGCAGCGACGCCGCGUGAGGGAUGACGGCCUUCGGGUUGUAAACCUCUUUCAGUAGGGAAGAAGCCCCUUUUUGGGGUGACGGUACUUGCAGAAGAAGCGCCGGCUAACUACGUGCCAGCAGCCGCGGUAAUACGUAGGGCGCAAGCGUUAUCCGGAAUUAUUGGGCGUAAAGAGCUCGUAGGCGGUUUGUCGCGUCUGCCGUGAAAGUCCGAGGCUCAACCUCGGAUCUGCGGUGGGUACGGGCAGACUAGAGUGAUGUAGGGGAGACUGGAAUUCCUGGUGUAGCGGUGAAAUGCGCAGAUCUCAGGAGGAACACCGAUGGCGAACGC